AGGACAAGAUGAUCUCUGGUAACCAAACCCAGUAGGAGAGGGGAUCCCUCACACCAAGCCUCUCUGCUGGGUGGUCUGCACUCUUCUGGGGGCACUGGGCUUGAAUGGCCAGCAUUUCUCUGAGCUGAUGAGUACUAAAAGCAGAGGCAAAAAGAAAAGCAAGCAGGCAGAGGAGCUGCCCAAGGCGGUCACAAUCACCAGGGAGCAGUGCUCCUCUCCAAACAGGCUCAGUGGCUUCUGCCAAGGGCAGACUCAUCGAUAAGCUUGUCCAAAGGCAGUGUGUCUCACUCCCUGAGUUUAACAUGAUGCCUUUUGGUCUCUGCAAUUCCCCUAGUGCCUCUCAGAGGCGCAUGGAUUUGAUUCUGGCAGCUGUUCAGUAGGCCACAUGUUCGGCCGAUCUGGAUGAUGCAAUUGUUUUUGGGAGGACUUUCCAGGAACAUUAAAAUCGCCUGGAGGAUGCUUGUAGCUGGCUGGAGCAGGCUGGUCUGAGAGCCGAAACCCAUCCAACUGUGACUAGUCAUGGUCCCAGGUGCAGCCCGCUCCUCAUAUCAUGUCUUCAGCAGGGUGUGCCUCCACCUCCAGUCAGGACAGACACCCUCGGCACAAGCCCACCCCGGCAAUGGCAGCUGAAAGGACAACCAGAUCCCUCUGCACAAGGUGUGGGAGUCCUGGCUUUUCUCUGUUAUCUGGUAGAAGACAAGGAAGGGGAGGGAGACAUGAAAGCACAGCCUGGAUCUGAAUUCCCAGUCUGAAGCAGGGCUCAGCUUUUGGACCUAGGAAAAGAAGCUGGGCUGUGUCCCUGCUGCAGCCAUUUUGGAGAGGUGGCAGAGAGCUGCACACCCCAGCAGUCACAGGAGCCCAGAGGGGGGAAAUAAAAGGAUUUUUCUGAGUGAGCUGGUGAUGAGGAACAUCAAGUUAAGCUCUUUGGAGUGAGGUACAGUGCUCUUUUCCAGCGGAAGGAUCUUGAGCUUUGGCCUAAGAUGCUAUCAUGAGUAAUGGUCAGGUGUCACGCUGGCUGCAGUGACCAGAGGCACUGAACCCCCUGGUCUGGCAGGAGCACACUCCGAUCACAGACUGCUCCUUGCAGGGGGUGAGUAAAGUAGGUAACAAGACA